rnacentral:lncRNA from 1 species
CGGAAAGAAAUAUCAAUUAAGCAAGAUUAAAGUACUGAAGAAUUUAACAAAAUACACAAUAUAAUCUCACUAGGACCGUGUGUCACGAAUCUGAGCCUCUAGAAUACAGAAUAUCAUCCUAAUACAAGGUAUAUCCAAAGUCUGAUAAUGUGGAAAUAAAGAGAUAGGAUAGGAGGGAGAAGAUCAAUGGCUGCGAAUGCCGUGCAGCUACCUCGAUACUCCCAGAAGCUGGAUCUGCUGAUCAACUGGAUUUACUGAGCCUGAAACUGCCCUGGAUCUGCACACAAGGUGCAGGAAGUAAAGUGAGUACUCCGACCCAGUGAGUAAUAAAAGUAACUACAGUCCGAAGAUAAGAAAAUCCCGUAAAUACACAAAGUAAGCUAAAAUCCAAAUAUACAACAACAUAUGGAACUGAGCAGCUAAACAACAGUAUAAAUACAAAUACAUGAAUGCAAUGCAAUGCAUAUGAUGGUACAGUCCAGUACCCACUGCGGCGUGCAGCCCGAGCCAUCCAUAUUUAUUUAUCGUCGACGGCGCUCACUAGAGGUGUGUACAGACUCCGGAGGGGCUCCUACAGCCCAAGCGCAAUAUCUUGGUCAGUCAUUGUUACCUGACCGGUCAGCCAUUGUUACCUGAUCAAUUUAUAUCAUACAGUGCCAUUGUUACCACUGUUCAAGUAUAUCAUCCAGUAUCAUUGUUACAACUAUUUCAAGUAUAUCAGACAGUGUCAUUGUUACCAUUGUUUCAAGUAUAUCACACAGUGUCAUUGUUACCACUAUUUCAAGUCACUUUAUAAUCA